UACGUAGGCAGCGAGCGUUGUUCGGAGUUACUGGGCGUAAAGCGUGCGUAGGCGGCGGCUCAAGUCGGGGGUGAAAUCCUCUCGCUCAACGAGAGAAUUGCCUCCGAUACUGGGUCGCUGGAGGGGGAUAGGGGUGCGCGGAACUUCCGGUGGAGCGGUGAAAUGCGUAGAUAUCGGAAGGAACGCCGGUGGCGAAAGCGGCGCACUGGAUCCCUACUGACGCUGAGGCGCGAAAGCCAGGGGAGCAAACGGG
rnacentral:rRNA from 1 species